GCUACGGCCAUACCACCCUGAACACGCCCGAUCUCGUCUGAUCUCGGAAGCUAAGCAGGGUCGGGCCUGGUCAGUACUUGGAUGGGAGACCGCCUGGGAAUACCAGGUGCUGUAAGCU
rnacentral:rRNA from 1 species